GGAGGGUGCAAGCGUUAAUCGGAAUUACUGGGCGUAAAGCGCACGCAGGCGGUUUGUUAAGUCAGAUGUGAAAUCCCCGCGCUCAACGUGGGAACGGCAUUUGAGACUGGCAAGCUAGAGUCUUGUAGAGGGGGUAGAAUUCCAGGUGUAGCGGUGAAAUGCGUAGAGAUCUGGAGGAAUACCGGUGGCGAAGGCGGCCCCCUGGACAAAGACUGACGCUCAGGUGCGAAAGCGUGGGAGCAACAGGAUUAGAUACCCUGGUAGUCCACGCUGUAAACGAUGUCGAUUUGGAGGUUUGCGCCCCUUGAGGGGUGGCUUCCGUAGCUAACGCGUUAAAUCGACCGCCUGGGGAGUACGGCCGCAAGGUUA
rnacentral:rRNA from 1 species